UUUAAUUAUAAAGUAAAUUAAGAUUAUAUUACCUUUUGCAUCAUGAUUAAAUGAUUAAGAAUCUCCUAAGUGAGUACCUUCGAAAAUGUGUGAUCUUACGAGGGCUAAAAGGUGAUUGGGUAAUUCACAAACCUAAGCCCUUGUAAGAAGUGAUAAGUUACACGUACACGUUUAUAUCUAAUUAGGGGGUAGACGUUAAGGGAUAUUAUUUUAUUAUAAUGCCCCACAAUAUUUGCUUAACUACUUUCUAAAGUACAAAUGGAUUAAUAUUAUCCUAUAACUUGUUACAAAGUGAUAAUAAAUAUAAGGAGCAAUUUAACAGUCCCCCUCAUUGUUUAAUACCUAAACUAAGUUUAUGUUAUAAAUAAGUAGAAAAAUAAAAUAACUUUUUCUCGUAAGAAUCCGAACUGUUUAUUAAAAACAUUUCCUAAUAAAAACUUUAUUAGGUAUCCCCUGCUCAUCGUUGUUCAAACCAACAAGAAGCCGCAGUAUUUUGACUGUGCUAAGGUAGCAUAAUUAAUUGCCUCUUAAAUAGAGGAUUGUCUGAAUGGGGUAAUUGGGUUCAAAUUAAAAAUCAUUUUAUAAGAAAUUAAUUUGUAGUUGCAGAAUACUACGUUCUAAUAUAAGACGGAAAGACCCUAAGAGCUUAAUUUUUUUUAUUUUGGGCAAAGCUAUAUAUUUAUUUAGUUUAUAAACCUAUUGGGAUAAAAGCAAAGUUACCUUAGGGAUAACAGGGUUAGAUGUAUUUAGAGUUCUUAUCAAUAUACAUAAUUGCCACCUCGAUGUUGACUUAAAUUUACUCUAUUGUGUAGAAGCUUUAGUAGUAAGCCUGUUCGGCUUUUAAAAUUUUUCAUGAGUUGAGUUAAGACCGGUGUAAGCCAGGUCGGUUCUUAUCUAUAAGUGGUCUACUAUAGUACGAAAGGAUUUAGUAGUAAAUAAUUUAUUAAAAUUUUUACA
rnacentral:rRNA from 1 species